rnacentral:misc_RNA from 1 species
AGGUGACAUGACUGUGUACUUCCUUAUUCCGGAUUUCUUUGAAGGUGUGCCAGCUAGUAAGAGCUUGGCUUCAUCUAGAGUAUGCUUCUGCAUUUGGUGGCACUCUGUCAUAACCUUCCACAUUCUUCCUAACCCUUGCACUAAUUCUAAAAGCUGAGGUUGCAAUUCUUCAUCUCUUAAAGUUUCAAUCCUUCUCGAGAUAGAUUCAACAGAGUGGAUUGAAACCUUUAUCUGAGUAUCCAGAUUCCUAAUGGCUGCUCUCGUUUUAUCCACAGACGAAGGGUCUGCUCCAUUCACAUCUAGAUUUCUGAGUUGAGCCACUUUUUUCUCAUAGGCUAGCCGGAUCCGCUCACCUGCCCUGACUUCCUCAUAUAGUUUUUUCUCCCAGGCAUAUA